GUGAACGCUGGCGGUAGGCCUAACACAUGCAAGUCGAACGGCAGCACAGUAAGCGCUUGCUCUUACGGGUGGCGAGUGGCGGACGGGUGAGGAAUACAUCGGAAUCUACUUUUUCGUGGGGGAUAACGUAGGGAAACUUACGCUAAUACCGCAUACGACCUACGGGUGAAAGCAGGGGAUCUUCGGACCUUGCGCGAUUGAAUGAGCCGAUGUCGGAUUAGCUAGUUGGCGGGGUAAAGGCCCACCAAGGCGACGAUCCGUAGCUGGUCUGAGAGGAUGAUCAGCCACACUGGAACUGAGACACGGUCCAGACUCCUACGGGAGGCAGCAGUGGGGAAUAUUGGACAAAGGGCGCAAGCCUAAUCCAGCCAUACCGCGUGGGUGAAGAAGGCCUUCGGGUUGUAAAGCCCUUUUGUUGGGAAAGAAAAGCAGCAGGUUAAUACCCCGCUGUUCUGACGGUACCCAAAGAAUAAGCACCGGCUAACUUCGUG
rnacentral:rRNA from 1 species